rnacentral:rRNA from 1 species
AUUGAACGCUGGCGGCAGGCCUAACACAUGCAAGUCGAACGAUGAAGCUGGAGCUUGCUCCGGUGGAUUAGUGGCGAACGGGUGAGUAACACGUGAGCAAUCUGCCCUUGACUCUGGGAUAACUGCGGGAAACUGUAGCUAAUACCGGAUACGACACCUUCGGGCAUCCGAUGGGUGUGGAAAGAAUUUCGGUCAAGGAUGAGCUCGCGGCCUAUCAGCUAGUUGGUGAGGUAACGGCUCACCAAGGCGACGACGGGUAGCCGGCCUGAGAGGGUGACCGCCCACACUGGGACUGAGACACGGCCCAGACUCCUACGGGAGGCAGCAGUGGGGAAUAUUGCACAAUGGGCGCAAGCCUGAUGCAGCAACGCCGCGUGAGGGACGAAGGCCUUCGGGUUGUAAACCUCUUUUAGCAGGGAAGAAGCGAAAGUGACGGUACCUGCAGAAAAAGCACCGGCUAACUACGUGCCAGCAGCCGCCGAGUAAAAC